rnacentral:rRNA from 1 species
CAGCCGCCGCGGGAAUACGAAGGGGGCUAGCGUUGUUCGGAAUCACUGGGCGUAAAGGGUGCGUAGGCGGAUUCUUAAGUCAGGGGUGAAAUCCCGAGGCUCAACCUCGGAACUGCCUUUGAUACUGGGGAUCUUGAGUCCGGAAGAGGUGAGUGGAACUGCGAGUGUAGAGGUGAAAUUCGUAGAUAUUCGCAAGAACACCGGUGGCGAAGGCGGCUCACUGGUCCGGAACUGACGCUGAGGCACGACAGCGUGGGGAGCAAACAGGAUUAGAUACCCCCGUAGUCCCUGUCUCUUAUAC